rnacentral:snRNA from 1 species
AUCACUUCUUAGCCUUUUGGCUAGGAUCAAGUGGAGACUCUAUUCUUAUAAGUUUAAUAUCUAAUGCAUCCUGUAUCUGAGGACGAUGUGUGAAAUGGAUUUUUGGAGCAGGAAGAUGGAAUAGGAUCUUUCUCAGUAUCAAGCUAGUAUUGCAGUACCUUCUGGAAUGAUGUACUUUCU